rnacentral:rRNA from 1 species
AUUGAACGCUGGCGGCAGGCCUAACACAUGCAAGUCGAGCGAGCGGCGGACGGGUGAGUAAUGUCUGGGAAACUGCCUGAUGGAGGGGGAUAACUACUGGAAACGGUAGCUAAUACCGCAUACCAUCAGAUGUGCCCAGAUGGGAUUAGCUAGUAGGUGGGGUAACGGCUCACCUAGGCGACGAUCCCUAGCUGGUCUGAGAGGAUGACCGACCACACUGGAACUGAGCCACGGUCCAACGUCCUCCGGUGGGCGGCAGUGGGGAAGUUGGCACAAUGGGCGCAAGCCUGAUUCAGCCAUGCCGCGUGUGUGAAGAGGGCCUUCGGUUUGUAAAGCACUUUCAGCGGGGAGGCGUUACCCGCAGAAGAAGCACCGGCUAACUCCGUGCCAGCAGCCGCGGUAAUAC